rnacentral:misc_RNA from 1 species
GAUGAAGAACGCAGCGAAAUGCGAUACGUAGUGUGAAUUGCAGAAUUCAGUGAAUCAUCGAAUCUUUGAACGCACAUUGCGCCCUUUGGUAUUCCAAAGGGCAUGCCUGUUCGAGCGUCAUUUGUACCCUCAAGCUUUGCUUGGUGUUGGGCGUCUUGUCUCCAGUCCGCUGGAGACUCGCCUUAAAGUCAUUGGCAGCCGGCCUACUGGUUUCGGAGCGCAGCACAAGUCGCACUCUUUUCCAGCCAAGGUCAGUGUCCAACAAGCCUUUUUUCAACUUUUGACCUCGGAUCAGGUAGGGGUACCCGCUGAACUUAAGCAUAUCAAUAAGCGGAGGA